rnacentral:rRNA from 1 species
CCUACGGGUGGCAGCAGUGGGGAAUAUUGGACAAUGGGCGAAAGCCUGAUCCAGCCAUGCCGCGUGUGUGAAGAAGGCCUUCGGGUUGUAAAGCACUUUCAGUGGGGAAGAAAGCCUUGGGGCUAAUACCCUCGAGGAAGGACAUCACCCACAGAAGAAGCACCGGCUAACUCCGUGCCAGCAGCCGCGGUAAUACGGAGGGUGCGAGCGUUAAUCGGAAUUACUGGGCGUAAAGCGCGCGUAGGCGGUCUGAUAAGCCGGUUGUGAAAGCCCCGGGCUCAACCUGGGAACGGCAUCCGGAACUGUCAGGCUAGAGUGCAGGAGAGGAAGGUAGAAUUCCCGGUGUAGCGGUGAAAUGCGUAGAGAUCGGGAGGAAUACCAGUGGCGAAGGCGGCCUUCUGGACUGACACUGACGCUGAGGUGCGAAAGCGUGGGUAGCAAACAGGAUUAGAUACCCGAGUAGGC